rnacentral:lncRNA from 1 species
UUCAACGCCUUUAGAACAAUGGCAGUCACAUAGUAGGUACUCAAUGUUUGGAGUACGAAUAAUGUACUCUUAUUAUUCAAAGACCAGCUAGAAAGUUACCUUCUUUGAGGGGUCUUCCUGAUAGUUACAGUGACAAGGAGACUUAAUCGCCCCCAAACACUUACCACUUUACACUGCUUGGUUGUCUCCAUUACACAACUAAUUCCCCGAGGGGAAGGAUCUUGAAUAACUGAUCUUUGUUGUAGGCGGCUAGCACAGUACCCAGAUCAUAGAGGGAACUCAGAAUCUGAUGCUGGCACUUGUAAUCAGAAAGUCUGGGCUGAGAUCCCAGUAUCUUCACUGACUGGCUUUGUGAUCUCAGGCUGGUCACUUAGCAUUUCGAACGCCGCGCUACCUACCCCGCCCACCCCAGGAGCGAACAGUGUUGCUGCCCCAAAGCGCCGAAUAGAUCGCAGAACGUAGUGGGAAAGUAAGGGACUAUUAUGAUCUGUACCCCACCCCGACGCACGCCAAGCGGCUUUUUCCCCAUUUGUGGCCAAAUUUCCCGGCAUGGGGAAGGAGCCUUAGGGGAAGCACCCGGGACCUCCUUGGCUUCUUCUGGGAGUCUAGUUUCACCUAUUUCGUUUCGCCAACAGGCGAGACGGGCAAGACUUCGGGCUCAGCUGCCACCAUCAGUACUGACCUGUCCAUGGCUAAAGCCUUUUCCACACACAACCAAAGUUGGCUGCAGUUUAGCUACCGCGUUUUAGCCUUCCCGCUCUCCGGAAGCAAGCCCUUCGACCCGGAAGCAGUCUGUCCCUAAAACAGACCCACAGAAAAGGGGUUCAGGUACUCCAUGUGAUAUAUGGUUCCACAAUCCUCAGCGUGUUAACUGAAGCCUUGUUGAGUUUAACAAAGCUGCCAUUGAAGAUCUGGGGAAAGUGAAGAAGUUGCAACAGAGUUUUGGGCUCACACCAUUGAUACAUUUGAUCCUUAAGGCCCACCCCGCCUCACUCCCACCCUCUUCUACUUAAUUCAGGAUGUGAAUAGCACAUGCCUUCCAUCUUCAGACAAACACUGAGGCCUGGACAAUGACCUGCAUUAGGUAGAUAGAAUCUACUGAAAGCUAAAAGCCUUUUCCUGUGUCUUAGCAGCACGGAAGCCACGCCUCCUUCCCCCCAAUGUUUGUGCAAACCCUAGAGAAGAGGAGACAGCCCCUAUGAUGUGUGAGGUUGAAUUUCCUGCCCUCAACCCAUCAAAUCAGGCAGAAUGAGGGCUCAGUCAGAACUACAACUACAAAAGAGAAAAAUUUUAAUGUGACUUUUCUUGUCUGCUCAGAUUUUUGGGUUAAGGUUCAUGCCAGCUACAUUCUUUGCAUAAUAAAAUAUAAAUAGAGUAUAAAUUGUUCUAGUUAGAGAAAACAGCAAAACAGUGCUCUCCCAAGGGCCCUAAUAAAUCACUUUACAGAAA